UGUCAAGAGCCUAUGUAUCAAACUUUUGGAGUUUUGCCACACUGUGAAGUCAAAAAUGGCUUGAAAUUUAAUUUUUAUUAGUAAUUUUAAAUUUUGAUGUAAUUUUGUUGUUCCCAAGCAAGUUGGAAGGGAAGCACCAUACUCUGAGUUCCAGUUGAGAGUCCUUUAUUGCUGGCAACCAAGAGUCUGCUUAUGCUCAAAAAAUCUCUCAGCCCUGAAGAAGGGGCUUGAUUACUUUUUAUAUCUUGCUUAACAUAGGGAAGGGGGAGCCUAGCUGAAGCAGAAUUUAUAGAAGCAGAACAAGCAAGUUAGAUAAGGAGGCUGGUAACUAGGAGGCAGGAGGUUCCCAUGAUUGUUGAUUACUAAGGAGGGUAUACACAAGCAGUUCCCAUGAUUGCUGAUUACCAAGAGGGGUAUUCAGUACUUGCCAUACAAUCAAUCAAGGGGGUAUUCACAAUAGCAAGUGGGCUUGUCAAGCAGGAUAUGGUUACAAUGGUUAUAUGCCUCUCUAGUUCUAAGCACAGCACAGUAGCAUGACCCAGGUAUGCACUCAAGGGAGAAAUGGCAGGAGGGGAAAGGCAGAGUUUAAGAUGGAGUCUGUCUGGCUCUCAGCAAGAUGGAGUCUGUCAGGCUAAUACAGGGUAGGUUAGCACAGUUUAAAACUGACAAAAUGUGUAAGAAUAUACAAAGAUUUCCUAUAUAUUUUUGAUUGAGCUUUAAUUGGCAUUUUUCUAAUUUAGAGUGACAUUAUGAGGAAAGCCAAAGAACCCAUUGAUGAUGUAAUCAACAAAACUAGGCACAAAAUAUUUCUGUGGACCCCGAAAUACAAGCAAGUGGUCCUGUCACUGAGAUCAACAAGACCUGGGCGAUAUCGGUUACCUUGCAGGGGAAGCAGAGGAAAGUUGAGAGACUGCUCAUUGCCCUGCCAGUUGGAGAGCCCAAACUCACCAACAGAUACUCACAGGAAGUCAGCAGGUCACCCCUGGAACAGCAGCCCAAACUGGAAGGAGCUUUGUGAGCGCCGAUCUGUGGGUGGAGAAACUGAGAUUCAGACAAGGAGCUUCUUGUUCAGCAAACACUACUUAGCCAAUAAUCUAAAUGGAAGUUAAUGGAGAAUUGUUUGACUCAGUGCUAUGGUCUGAAUGUUGUGUCCCUCCCAAAUUCAAAUUCAAAUCCUAACCCCAAGGUGGUGAUAUGAGGAGGUGGAGUCUUUGGAAGGUGAUUAUAUCAUGGGAGUGGAACUGUCAUGAAUGGGAUCAGUGCCCUUGUAUAAAAGCCUCCUCAACCCUUCAACUAUGUGAGGACACGGCAAGAAGAUGCCAUCUAUGAACUGGAAAGUAGGCCCUCAUCAGACUCAGACCUACUGACACCUUGAUCUUGGACUUCCCAGUCUCCAGAACCUUGAGAAAUAAAUUUCUGCUGUUUAUAAGAGGCUUGGUUUAUGGUAAUUUGUUAUAGCAUCCUGAAUGGACUAAAACACCUAUGGUAUUAAGAAUUUUGAGGCCGGGCAUGGUGGCUCAUGCCUGUAAUCCCAGCCUUGGGAGGCUGAGGUAGGUGGAUCAAUUGAGCUCAGGAGUUCGAGACCAGCCUGGGCAAUAUAGUAAGACCUCAACUCUAUUCUAAUUUUUUUUAAUUAAAAGAAAAAAGGAUCUGAAAAUUCUAAAUCUGCUUUCUCCUCUAUUAAAAAAUUUUCAGGGCCGGGCGCGGUGGCUCACGCCUAUAAUCCCAGCACUUUGAGAGGCCGAGGUGGGUGGAUCAUGAGGUCAAGAGAUCGAGACCAUCCUGGUCAACAUGGUGAAACCCUGUCUCUACUAAAAAUACAAAAAUUAGCUGGGCAUGGUGGCGCGCACCUGUAGUCCCAGCUACUCAGGAGGCUGAGGCAGCAGAAUUGCCUGAACCCAGGAGGCGGAGGUUGCGGUGAGCCGAGAUUGUGCCAUUGCACUCCAGCCUGGGUAACAACAGCAAAACUCUGUCUCAAAAAAAAAAAAAAAAUCUUCAGAUGGCAGCUCUUAGUAUACUAGAGUCACAUUCUGAAUAUUUGUAGCCAUUGUCCACAAGGGCAGUCAGAAGACUUAAGUUAGUGGUUUCCAAACUUACUUUUUGGUCUAGAA
ensembl:lncRNA